AUUUAAUUCAGGUAAAUUUGUUUGCAGGUUCUUCUUCUCCAUCUUAAUUGAUUCUAUCUUAACAAAAGAUUCAGCGUAUAGCUUCUCCAAUGAUUAACGUAAGAGCAGAAUAAAUCAAGGUUGUGAUUAUGGAUUCUUCUAAUGCAUCAAAUUCAAAUGCCACAAACACUACCUGUGAUUCAUUGCCCUCUUCUUCGGCUACUCAAACUAAAGAUCCAGCAUGGGAAUGGGGUGAACGCCAAGA